rnacentral:misc_RNA from 1 species
UUAAAAAUAUUAAAGUAGAAUGUGAAGCAAGAAGUCUUAAGACGGACAGAGAGCUGGCGAGUUGCUGAGAGCCAGUACUAGAAAAUGGCAGAAACAUCAAACAGGUUGCGCAACCGAUAUCAGCGAUUAAAGGCAGUUCAUAAGGAACUGUGAAACUUGGGUGGAACAGCGUUACGACGCCCCUUGU